GGAGUGACCAUUGGCUUGGCCCUUGCUGGUGUCAUAGCUAUUGUCAUGGUAGUCCUGAGUAUUGUGAUUUUUUUCUUAAAAAGGCAUCGGUCUGUGAAAGAAAAAAGAAAGAAUCAAUCAAAUGAAGUCGCAAUGUCUGACUUAGAACCUAACACAGAAAAAAGCGAGUGUGAUACUAAUACUUACGAAAUACCUGACCAAAACGUUUAUGAAGGUCUAGAUAGGCAAGGCAAUGCUCCAUCGAGUGAAAUGUACCAACAUCUGUAUACAGAAACCAAUAAUCCAGAUUGCUAAAGAAAAACUCAAAACUUUAGUCACCGACAGUCGGACACAAACAGUUUGGAAAAAGAGCAUAACAAUACGCCUGAUAGUAUUUGUGACGGCUUGUCUCGUGAAAACUCGUCAAAUGAAUAUGAAAGUUAUAAAACUAACGCAACUGAUCAGAUGCACGAAACGCUACAAAAAGACAACUGACACAUAUUAAGAACGGCGUUACCUAAGAUUUAGGAACAUGAGUUAUUUUUUUCAUAUCGACAUAAGCAAUCUUUAAACCAGACAUCGGAAUUACGCGUGACUUAAAUGAACGCUAGAACUUGUGAAACAAUAGGGCUAAGAUACAUAUGUGUAAGCUAAAUGUGUUUUAAAAGGUGUUAUCAAGAGUUUUGUAAGAAGUAUUUAGCAACACCUUAAAUAAUCUGAUAGAUUCCAUGAACACCUAUGAAACAUCUAUAAUAAAUUGAUAUGAUGAAGUUGGAUUUAUAAUGAU